CCCUGAAGUCAGCGGCGGACGGGUGAGUAACACGUGGGUAACCUGCCUGUAAGACUGGGAUAACUCCGGGAAACCGGGGCUAAUACCGGAUAGUUCUUUUCCUCGCAUGAGGAAAAGUGGAAAGGCGGCUUCGGCUGCCACUUACAGAUGGACCCGCGGCGCAUUAGCUAGUUGGUGAGGUAACGGCUCACCAAGGCAACGAUGCGUAGCCGACCUGAGAGGGUGAUCGGCCACACUGGGACUGAGACACGGCCCAGACUCCUACGGGAGGCAGCAGUAGGGAAUCUUCCGCAAUGGACGAAAGUCUGACGGAGCAACGCCGCGUGAGUGAUGAAGGUUUUCGGAUCGUAAAGCUCUGUUGUUAGGGAAGAACAAGUGCCGUUCGAAUAGGGCGGCACCUUGACGGUACCUAACCAGAAAGCCACGGCUAACUACGUGCCAGCAGCCGCGGUAAUACGUAGGUGGCAAGCGUUGUCCGGAAUUAUUGGGCGUAAAGCGCGCGCAGGCGGUCUCUUAAGUCUGAUGUGAAAGCCCACGGCUCAACCGUGGAGGGUCAUUGGAAACUGGGGGACUUGAGUACAGAAAGAGGAAAGUGGAAUU
rnacentral:rRNA from 1 species